rnacentral:rRNA from 1 species
GACGAACGCUGGCGGCGUGCUUAACACAUGCAAGUCGAACGGAAAGGCCCUGCUUUUGUGGGGUGCUCGAGUGGCGAACGGGUGAGUAACACGUGAGUAACCUGCCCUUGACUUUGGGAUAACUUCAGGAAACUGGGGCUAAUACCGGAUAGGAGCUCCUGCUGCAUGGUGGGGGUUGGAAAGUUUCGGCGGUUGGGGAUGGACUCGCGGCUUAUCAGCUUGUUGGUGGGGUAGUGGCUUACCAAGGCUUUGACGGGUAGCCGGCCUGAGAGGGUGACCGGGCACAUUGGGACUGAGAUACGGCCCAGACUCCUACGGGAGGCAGCAGUGGGGAAUAUUGCACAAUGGGCGGAAGCCUGAUGCAGCAACGCCGCGUGCGGGAUGACGGCCUUCGGGUUGUAAACCGCUUUCGCCUGUUACGAAGCGUGAGUGACGGUAAUGGGUAAAGAAGCACCGGCUAACUACGUG